rnacentral:rRNA from 1 species
CUGCUGCCUUCCGUAGGAGUCUGGUCCGUGUCUCAGUACCAGUGUGGGGGACCUUCCUCUCAGAACCCCUACGCAUCGUCGCCUCGGUGGGCCGUUACCCCGCCGACUAGCUAAUGCGCCGCAUGGCCAUCCGCAGCCGAUGAAUCUUUAACCGCCGAGGGAUACCCCUCUGCGGUGUUACGCGGUAUUAGACGGAAUUUCUUCCGCUUAUCCCCCUGCUGCGGGCAGGUUCCAUACGUGUUACUCACCCGUGCGCCGGUCGCCGGCGGG